AUACAGAGGUGGCGAGCGUUGUUCGGAUUUACUGGGCGUAAAGCGUACGUAGGCGGCUAAGUAUGUCGGACGUGAAAGCCCGGGGCCCAACCCCGGAAGUGCAUCCGAAACUGCUAAGCUAGAGUACAGGAGGGGAGAGCGGAAUUCAUGGUGUAGCGGUGAAAUGCGUUGAUAUCAUGAAGAACACCGGUGGCGAAGGCGGCUCUCUGGAAUGUAACUGACGCUGAGGUACGAAAGCGUGGGUAGCGAACAGGAUUAGAAACCCUAGUAGUCC
rnacentral:rRNA from 1 species